rnacentral:rRNA from 1 species
AAAACAUGGCCUUUCGAAUAGAAAAUGUAAGGUCUGACCUGCCCACUGAUUUAUAAUUGAAGGGCCGCGGUAAAUUAACUGUGCUAAGGUAGCAUAAUCAUUUUCCAAUUAAUUGUUGGAUGGAAUGAAUGGUUUGACGAGAAAUUGAAUGUCUUAAUAGUAUUUAAGUGAAUUUUACUUUUCUCGUGAGGAGGCUAGAAUUUUGUUGAGGGACGAGAAGACCCUGUAGAUUUUUAGUAAUGUUGUUUUUUGUGUAUUUUAUAAAUAUACUUUGGUUGGGGCGAUUUUAAAAGAAAAAUAUCUUUUGUUUAAUGAUUUAUCAAUUAUUUUUGUUUUAUGGAUCCAGAAUUUUUGAUUAUAAGAUUAAAAUACCUCAGGGAUAACAGCGUAAUUUUUUUAAGAAGUUCUUAUUUGAAUAAAAGUUUGCGACCUCGAUGUUGA